rnacentral:rRNA from 1 species
ACGAACGCUGGCGGCGUGCUUAACACAUGCAAGUCGAACGCCCCGCAAGGGGAGUGGCAGACGGGUGAGUAACGCGUGGGAAUCUACCGUAUCCUACGGAAUAACGCAUGGAAACGUGUGCUAAUACCGUAUACGCCCUUUGGGGGAAAGAUUUAUCGGGGUAUGAUGAGCCCGCGUUGGAUUAGCUAGUUGGUGGGGUAAAGGCCUACCAAGGCGACGAUCCAUAGCUGGUCUGAGAGGAUGAUCAGCCACAUUGGGACUGAGACACGGCCCAAACUCCUACGGGAGGCAGCAGUGGGGAAUAUUGGACAAUGGGCGCAAGCCUGAUCCAGCCAUGCCGCGUGAGUGAUGAAGGCCCUAGGGUUGUAAAGCUCUUUCACCGGUGAAGAUAAUGACGGUACCCGGAGAAGAAGCCCCGGCUAACUUCGU